rnacentral:rRNA from 1 species
UACGGGGGGGGCGAACGUUGUUCGGAAUUACUGGGCGUAAAGGGCGCGUAGGCGGAUCUUUAAGUCAGGGGUGAAAUCCUGGAGCUCAACUCCAGAACUGCCUUUGAUACUGGGGAUCUCGAGUCCGGGAGAGGUGAGUGGAACUGCGAGUGUAGAGGUGAAAUUCGUAGAUAUUCGCAAGAACACCAGUGGCGAAGGCGGCUCACUGGCCCGGUACUGACGCUGAGGUGCGAAAGCGUGGGGAGCAAACAGG